rnacentral:rRNA from 1 species
UGUUUUGCCGCUAUCUCUCCUGCCCCCUGGUUAUCCACGCUAUGCAUGCCCCGUUGCAGGUGCCGCGUUCCAUUGCUGCCGCGUACACCUCACAUGGCAACCAUGUAUUAUACUUAGCGCCAUGCACUGCCUCUACCUGUGUUCAAGGGAGUUCUGUUGCCGGAUGUGUAUCGCCUCCUUUUAUUUACGGUCGAGCCCCGGUGGUGUUUCCGGCUCGGGGGUUGGGGAUGGGGCCGGGAAGUAAAGCUGACUAGAUGUAGCGGUAGUCGUUUCUGCUCUCCAGUACCGCUGCCGCCUCCUCCAGCCGUUACCUGACCUCAAGAAUAGUCUAGACCACCUAUCCAAGGGGAACGACCUAGAACGUAGUUGGCUAAAGUUGAGUCGUCCACUCGGUCUAUGAACAAAAUGUGUCAGUCGACAACUUAGCUCGUACCCUCUAUAACCGCUACGCGGCGAAUGUUAGGUCCAGCGGCUCUUGUUGCCGACACUCCUUGACUCGAACAGCCGCCGGCUAAGUGUUGUUAGUUGUCCUUUUCUACUGGCAGUCCGGGGGCCCACCUGUUUUUCCCAAGUAUAACCCGCUCGGGGAGACCUUCUCAUACACGGGAACUCUUUUGUAAUUCUCCUAUACGCCUUUUCUCUUGUCUAUGGCAAGAUCAUGGUCGACAACCUAUGUUGAAGCCAAGUAACCCUCUCCGCAUGCUGAGGAUAUUGGAUAUAAGCACCCUUUAACCCAACCCUUAUUCUAUGCCUUUUUCAUCCGAGUUGCAGCUCUCUUGGUUUACGUACGUUCUCUAUCAUACACCUACGAGGCACUCAAGCUUUAUCUAAAUAAUAGGUCAAACGACGUUACCAAAGCACUUUUACGUGACUUGUUAAAUUUUCCUAUACACGGUCGUUCGACGGGGUACGUGUAUACUUCCGUUAUAUACUCCAAAGAAAAGCUAGCUCUCCGCCUACUAUUGAUACUUCUCGCUGCUUGUUUCUAUCACUUGUGUGGUGGCCUCAAGGUGCGAUCGUUCUAGAUGUGAGCUCGAUACAAACUCUUAAAACCACUCUAGGACAUACUUCGUCCUGUUAUGUCAUCUUCAAUUUUUACCAAGCUUUAUAAUGAAUGUGGCCAUGGUGGGUCUCUCUAUGCUCUUCACCACGUCUCAUGACAUGUAUGAUGUAUCACGUACAGCAGCGACUCCUACUUCUUGAGAGUACACUUACACCAUUGAAGUUCGCGUGUCCUGACAUACGACGGUAAGUCAAUUCCAAGAACUAAAGAACCCAUAUCUGUUUUAAGGUAGUUUCGUAUAGGAGUUUUCCACCUGUUUUCUACGUUCUCUAUAUGAAGGUUGGGCGAACAGUGUGGAUGUUUCUCUGUUCUAAAGUCGGUUAAGGUAUUGUAAGUCUGUAAGUUUAAAAAUAUGUGUACGAAAUCUCCAACAUUUUGAACCACUACGUUUAGGUUAACGUAUACUAACACGCUACCUUGAAGAAUCCCAUCGUUACCUAUUUGACUGGAUAAAUCGACGACUCGUACUACCAAACCCAAACGUUGUGUCUUAACUUUACUUCUUCUGUUUUCCAUGUCUUAACUGAGAGAAGGUUCCUCGUGUUGUACCUAUGUACUCGCUACUACUUCCAUCGCGGCAGUUUUUAAAGUAACCUAAUAGUCGAGGUCUUGUCUUUGCGUUCCGGCCAGUUGGUUGUUUGUCGUCUCUGUUCGGAGGUAUACUACUGGUCAGACGUUUCUCGUUUUUUUAAUUCCAGUGUAGUGUUCAACUAUGUCCAUAACCUACGUCAUGUUCGUUUGCUUGUGCCAAGACGUGAUAUACAGCACCGGGAUAAGUGUUCUCGUGUUGCACAGGCGAUUCUCCCCUGUGAGGAGUUUUCUUUUCCUUUCUUAGUUUUACGAGUUAGACGCCUCACCCUCCCGUAGCUUUCUUGUGGACGUGUACCUUUCGUUGGAUGAGUACUAGGACAAUAGCUUGGUACUCAUUAGAUAUGUUCGUCGAUCGUAUAAAUGGGACAUAGGACUGACGAGAGAUGGUACGUGGACUUUAUGAAUACAUGACAGUAGAAUCAUUAUGAUCUUCUUGCGGGUACGCAACGUUGCCCCGGUGUAAUUGAAAUUCUCAAGUUAUAAUUAGUACAAUUAUUAUGUAAAUUAUAAGAGUAUGUAUAGUUCACUGUGACCACUGGAAAAAAACAGUUAAAUCGUUGCCCGAGAAAUAUGUAUAGUCUGUUGAGCG